ACAAGCAGUGGAGCGUGUGGUUUAAUUCGAAGCAACGCGCAGAACCUUACCAGGUCUUGACAUCCCUGACAGCCUCAGAGAUGAGGUGUUCUGGUUUCCAGACAGGGAGACAGGUGUUGCAUGGUUGUCGUCAGCUCGUGUCGUGAGAUGUUGGGUUAAGUCCCGCAACGAGCGCAACCCCCGUUCUGUGUUGCCAGCGUAAAGUCGGGCACUCACAGGAGACUGCCGGAGACAAUUCGGAGGAAGGUGGGGAUGACGUCAAAUCCUCAUGGCCCUUAUGACCUGGGCUACACACGCGCUACAAUGGCCUGUACAGAGGGAAGCGAAAGAGCGAUCUGGAGCGAAUCUCACAAAACAGGUCUCAGUUCGGAUUGCAGGCUGAAACCCGCCUGCAUGAAGCUGGAAUCGCUAGUAAUCGCGGAUCAGCAUGCCGCGGUGAAUACGUUCCCGGGCCUU
rnacentral:rRNA from 2 species